AACGAACGCUGGCGGCAUGGAUUAGGCAUGCAAGUUGAACGAACCACUUCGGUGGAGAGUAGCGGAAGGGUGAGGAACGCGUGAGUAAUCUGCCCCUCAGUUGGGAAUAACAGUUGGAAACGGCUGCUAAUACCGAAUGUGGCUUAAGUUCCGCAUGGGACUUCGGCUAAAGAUUUAUCGCUGAGGGAUGAGCUCGCGUCCCAUUAGGUAGUUGGUGAGGUAACGGCUCACCAAGCCGACGAUGGGUAGCUGGUCUGAGAGGAUGGUCAGCCACACUGGGACUGAGACACUGCCCAGACUCCUACGGGAGGCUGCAGUCGAGAAUCUUGGGCAAUGCGCGAAAGCGUGACCCAGCAAUGCCGCGUGUAUGAUGAAGGCCCUCGGGUCGUAAAAUACUGUCUCCCGUGACGAAAUUUGACGGUAGCGGGGAAGAAGCCACGGCUAACUACGUG
rnacentral:rRNA from 1 species